GACGAACGCUGGCGGCGUGCUUAACACAUGCAAGUCGAACGGAAAGGCCCUGCUUUUGUGGGGUGCUCGAGUGGCGAACGGGUGAGUAACACGUGAGUAACCUGCCCUUGACUUUGGGAUAACUUCAGGAAACUGGGGCUAAUACCGGAUAGGAGCUCCUGCUGCAUGGUGGGGGUUGGAAAGUUUCGGCGGUUGUGGAUGGACUCGCGGCUUAUCAGCUUGUUGGUGGAGUAGUGGCUUACCAAGGCUUUGACGGGUAGCCGGCCUGAGAGGGUAACCGGCCACAAGAGGCCUGAGAGACGGACCAGACGCCUACGGGAGGCAGCAGUGGAGAAUAUUGCACAAUGGGCGGAAGCCUGAUGCGACGACGCCGCGUGCGGGAUGACGGCCUUCGGGUGGUAAACCGCUUUCGCCUGUGACGAAGCGUGAUUGACGGUAAUGGGUAAAGAAGCACCGGCUAACUACGUG
rnacentral:rRNA from 1 species